AUGGUGGACACAUUCCAAGUUUCUUUGUAUUUUGAACUGCCGGUUCCCAAACUUGACUUACUGUGUUUAAGUACACCCAACCCUUAAAUAGUGUAUUGCAAAUUACAUGUUUAUAAAAUUCAUCUAUUGGUAUUAACGGUUGCAUUGCUACUUUACUUAUCGCAUACAAAAUGUUUCACGGGUCUUAAAGUGAAGACCUAGAUUCACUACCGGUGCACCCAAAUGCUUCUCCCCAGUGGUAUCAAGGUAUUAGGUGUGUAAAGUAGUGUCCCUUUCCAUAAGGUUGAGGGUUCAGGUCCCAUAGUGAAUAUUUAGAAGUUGGAUUAGGUGAAUAAUGUGUUCUUUUUUUAAUUAAUAAUAAAUAUAUAACCCACUCGGCCACUCAUAUGAAGCCACCUCAACCCACCACUACAGUUCACACUACCAUAACACACCAUGGAUGAAAUUAGGAAAAAAUGUGAUAACCAGUGACUAGUCACAUCUAAGAAUUUGCGAGUUAUAUAUGGAUGAUUCC
rnacentral:lncRNA from 1 species